rnacentral:rRNA from 1 species
AUUGAACGCUAGCGGGAGGCUUUACACAUGCAAGUCGAACGAGUGGCGGACGGGUGAGUAAUAUAUCGGAAAGUGCCCAGUAGCGGGGGAUAACUACUCGAAAGGGUAGCUAAUACCGCAUACUAUCGGAGGGGCCGAUAUCGGAUUAGCUAGUUGGUGGGGUAAAGGCUCACCAAGGCAACGAUCCGUAGCUGGUUUGAGAGGAGGACCAGCCACACUGGGACUGAGACACGGCCCAGACUCCUACGGGAGGCAGCAGUGGGGAAUUUUGGACAAUGGGGGAAACCCUGAUGCAGCCAUGCCGCGUGUAUGAGAAGGCCUGCGGGUUGUAAAGUACUUUUGGCAGAGAGGCGGUAUCUGCAGAAGAAGCACCGGCUAACUACGUGCCAGCAGCCGCGGUAAUAC